rnacentral:rRNA from 1 species
UAGAGUUUGAUCCUGGCUCAGAACGAACGCUGGCGGCGCGCCUAAUACAUGCAAGUCGAGCGAGAAGGUGUAGCAAUACACUUGUAAAGCGGCGAACGGGUGAGGAAUACAUGGGUAACCUACCGUCGAGUGGGGAAUAACCAGCCGAAAGGCUGGCUAAUACCGCGUACGCUUCCGGAUCCUCGGGUUCGGAAGGAAAGCGAUACCGUGGGUAUCGCGCUCUUCGAUGGGCUCAUGUCCUAUCAGCUUGUUGGUAGGGUAACGGCCUACCAAGGCUUUGACGGGUAGCUGGUCUGAGAGGACGAUCAGCCACACUGGCACUGCGACACGGGCCAGACUCCUACGGGAGGCAGCAGUAAGGAAUAUUGCGCAAUGGGCGACAGCCUGACGCAGCGACGCCGCGUGGGGGAUGAAGGUCUUCGGAUUGUAAACCCCUUUCGGGAGGGAAGAUGGGGCGGGCAACCGCUCGGACGGUACCUCCAGAAGCAGCCACGGCCAACUUCGUGCCAGCAGCCGCGGUAAUACGAAGGUGGCAAGCGUUGUUCGGAUUCACUGGGCGUACAGGGUGUGUAGGCGGUUUGGUAAGCCUUUUGUGAAAGCUUCGGGCCUAACCCGGAAGCGCAGAGGGGACUGCCAGGCUAGAGGACGGGAGAGGAGCGCGGAAUUCCCGGUGUAGCGGUGAAAUGCGUAGAGAUCGGGAGGAAGGCCGGUGGCGAAGGCGGCGCUCUGGAACGUAUCUGACGCUGAGACACGAAAGCGUGGGGAGCAAACAGGAUUAGAUACCCUGGUAGUCCACGCCCUAAACUAUGGACAC